rnacentral:rRNA from 1 species
GACGAACGCUGGCGGCGUGGAUUAGGCAUGCAAGUCGAACGGUAUCAUCCUUUCGGGGGUGAGAGAGUGGCGAACUGGUGAGUAACACGUAGGUUAUCUACCCUCAAGACGGGGACAACCCAGGGAAACUUGGGCUAAUACCGGAUGUGAGCAACUUUUAGUUGUUUGAAAGGUGGCGUAAGCUGUCGCUUGGGGAUGAGCCUGCGUCCUAUUAGUUAGUUGGUGAGGUAACGGCUCACCUAGGCAAUGAUAGGUAGGCGGCCUUAACGGGUGGUCGCCCACACUGGGAUUGAGAUACGGCCCAGACUUCUACGGGAGGCAGCAGUCGAGAAUAGUCUACAAUGGUCGGAAGACUGAUAGUGCGACGCCGCGUGAACGAUGAAUCCCUUCGGGGUGUAAAGUUCUUUUAUAUGUGAGCAGUGCUUCUUAUAUUAACAGUAUGGGGAGAGAGAUAUUAGCAUAUGAAUAAGCAACGGCUAACUCCGUGCCAGCAGCCGCGGUAAACUCG